rnacentral:tRNA from 1 species
GCAUUGAUGGUUCAGUGGUAGAAUUCUCGCCUGCCAGGUGGGAGCCCUGGGUUCGAUUCCUGGCCAAUGCA